rnacentral:lncRNA from 1 species
AUGGACAGAUUCUGGAUGACCCCUGGCCGACUCUCCCUUCCGGCAGCUCUGGUCCUGUGGCCAGUUCAGGCCCAUCCCUUGGCCCAGAGGAAGCCGUGGCUGGUGGGGCUGGGGGCCGUUCUGGCUUUCCUCUUCCUCAUCUUCGUCCUCACCGUGGUCUACGCCAUCUGGUGCAGUGAGUCUCGAGACAGUAAUAAAGAGAAGGAAGAAGAGACUGUGAGAAAGGAGGAAAAGGAAGAAGAGGGUGACUGGGGGCUGGAGCUGGAGGAGAAAGAGGAGCCUCCAAACCAUGCAAGAAAGAUGAGCUCCUCAUGAGGGCUUCCCGCUCACCUCCUCCAGGCAGCACCCAGGAUGCACCAAUACCUGCUCUGCACCCUAGAUGCAAAGACCUGGUCCUGGGGCGUGAAAUGACUCCACCAGGGUGGAGUGUCCCUGAACGAAGAAGGCCCAGGACAAACCCCAAGUCCCUCCUAGAGGGCUGUUUGCAUGUUUCCUAGGCAUUACACACCCCCUUCCAAAGCUUGGUCUCCAUCUGGUAAUUCUCAAGCUCAGCGGGCAGGCACCCCUGGAUGAGGAGCUCAUCACAUCCCCGACACCCCCACCAUCUCAUAUCUCUACCCAAUCUGCGCUGCAGCCAUCUUCUUAACCCACUGCCUGAUUUCUUUUCCCACCUUUCUGCUGCCCUUUGGGAUUCACCAUAGAAUCCAGCUCUUCUCCUGCUCUCCUACCUCCAAAAUCUUUCAAGGUCCUGCUCCAACGAGUCCAUAGGCCAGCCCCUUUCCUGGCCUCGGUAUGUGUCUCUGUCACAUGGGAGCUGGGGGAAUCCCCACCACAUCUUGCUCAAGCCCCCUUUUCACAGGCAAGAGGGAAGGUGGGGAGAAACCGUGCAAACAGUCCUGCCAGUCUGCAGGGCCCGGGGCAGAGCCAACACUCCUCGUGCAACCUCCCUUUUGCUGCUCCUGAACUUGAACUUUGAGCAGGCUCAGCACCACGCUGUUCCCUGGGAGAUGAGGGCCCCUCCCACUGUAUGCUGAGUUUCAGGGCCCUGUCCUGGACGUUAUAACACUCAGGAGCUGGAUGUGGGGUGCACAGCAUCAUCACCCCACUCUUCCUGUCCUGCAUGCCUGGUGGUGGCUCCGCAGAGAACGAGUUGGAAUCCCAACUUUCUUGCUGUGUGGCCUGGGACAAGUAACUUAACCUCUCUGUGCCUGUGUCUUGUUCUGUAAAAAGGGAAGAAAAUAACUAUUCUUUCAGAAGUCUUCAUGAGGAUUAAAUGCAAUGAUGUCUACAAAAAUCCUGAGCACAGAACCCAAAAAGCAUUAAUAAAUGUCAGCUUUUUGUUAUGCUGAAAUUAAGAUUGGGCAGAGCGAAUGAACCUCCCCCCCACAGACUAGGGAGAUUCUGAAGGUUAGGGGGUGUGUUUUCAGAUCGCACCUCUGGGAGUGCAGGAAUUUCCUGCCUCCUCUCUUCUGUGCUCAGUCUGGGGGUUCCCGGUGGGUGGGGUGCUGGGGAGAGGAGGGAAGGGAGAAGGGGCUGUUCCGGCGGCACUUCCCCGCUAGGGGGAGUCUGGGAAAUUUAGGGGGGCGUCUUUUGGGUUGUCGCAAGCAAGCCCCCUUUUAUGGCAUUUAGUGGGGACCCAGGAAUGGCAAACAUCCUGCAGUGCUGGGGCAGCACCUCAAAGCAAAGAAUUGCUUCAUCCUAGGGGCCAAUGGCUGAAAAACACUGAGGCUUUCCUCGAGAUCAAAGGCCAGAUUGACUCCCCCAACCCGACUUAGCUCCGACCCCACUGAGCCCUCCCCCAACCACACCUAAGCCCUCUUCGGCUGAGCACCUGACCCCAGCUGAGCUCCUCACUCCGCAAAAGCAGCUCCUACGAGUGUCCCCCAUUCUGGCUACAGUGAGGGUCGGGACCGUGGGCUUGCGGGCGGAGGCGGGUGGGGGCCACCAGCUCACCUCUCCGCCCAGAACCUGGUUUCUUGGUCCAGGUCCCCCGUUUGGCCACAAGGGGGCGCCAGAACAUAGAGGCUGCGGGAAGGAGCAAGGGCCCAUCUUUGGAGUGGGAAGGAUUGGAGCCAUCAGGGGCAUUGGGGAGGGGUGUGGGGGAAGGGCCUGGACCCAGAGCUCACCCAAAGUCGCCAUCUAAAGCAGGUGUCUCUGGCGGGCAGUUGGCUCAGUUGGUAGAGCGCAGUGCUCAUAACACCGAGGUCACGGGUUCGAUUCCCACAUAGGCCAGUGAGCUGCGCCCUCCACAACUAGAUUGAAAAAUGACUUGCCUUGGAGCUGAGCUGUGCCCUCCACAACUAGACUGAAAACGACUUGGAGCUGAUGGGUCCUGGAAAAACACACUGUUCCCCGAUAUUCCCC